rnacentral:lncRNA from 1 species
CACGGCACCGGCCAGACAGCCUGUCACGCCCCCGUUGCCCGAGGCCACUACCUAUUUGGUUCGGCUCGGGUGCGGUGAGCGGACCGCCGAACGGACAGAGUCUCCCCUGUCCGCCCAAGGCUCAAACAGCGAGAUUGUGUACAACAAGUUCCCAGGAAAAUAACUUGAAUACAUACACAAUCAAUCAACAACAAUUUGAGCACGAACAGUGCUAAACAAUGCGAGAGCAAGCAUCACAAGUAGUAAGUCAAACAAGUGAACAAAAGAGAGAGAAAUACUUAACUAUUCUAUUACAACCAUCCAAAUUAACAUUUAGUUACAACUUCACUUUCUUUCUCCAAAAUGUAAAUACAUUCAAGUCUCUCAAACCUCACCCUAUACAAUAUCUACUCUCAAAACAUAAGUACAGGGUAAUGCCAAAUGCAGAGGAGGUAAACUAACUACUGACUCCACUAGGGCGCUACGCCCUUACCACGAUCCUCACGCUCGCCGGGGCUACCCGAACUCGGACCUGCAACACCGUGGGAGUGAGAACUACGAAUAGUUCCCAGUGGGUUCGGCCGCCGACUUCGCCGAUCUUCCCACUAGGUCUUAAGCAGGCAUAGAGAGAUAUAUGCAGAUAGAUAUAUAAUUGCGGAAAUAAAAGCAUCUAUAGCAAGCUACAGACAUAUAUAUAUAUGAUGACAUCAAGCUAUGCCUCAAUCUGCAAGUAUGCAUGCAUGCUUCAUAAGGUAAAUGCUAGGUAACCAAGCUACUAUGUACAAUAAUAAAUGUGACUUGAUAGAUUACCCAAUCUCUCGGCGAACUCGAAGUUCGCUCUCAAUCUCACGUGUGUGAGUCUCAUAGGGAAGGAGUCCAGACUCGACUAUCCCCGAGACCGCCUGCGGACAAGUACGUUAGUCCUACCUGUGACAACUUCCGGAGUGCACGACUUGUGGGGGAUGCCCCAAACAAGCAUAACAGGCCAUGUGAGCUCGAUCCAAUCUCAUGAACUAGAAACAUACUACCAACUAGGGUUGGCGUCAUUAUAGAAUCAGGUAUUCUAUUACUCAAUCUCUUAGUGUUCGACUACACCAAAGUUCUCAGGUUCAAUGCUAGCUAGAUGCCACUCGUUCUGGGUUCUUUGUUCACUAGAUGCCACCCGUUCUCAUUACACUAGUUUACAAUACCCUAGAUUCUCAUUCACAUAACCUAUUCCUCUCAUUAUAGGGCUCAAGUCACCCAACACUAUAUUAAGCAUACUAGGUUCAGGUAAUAAGCAACUGGACUCUAUUCCACUCAACUAGCAUGCAAAGUGUGUAACAAUUACAUUUAGCACCCUAUAAUGCAAUAAUGCAAUAUGCAAAUAAGUCAACUUAGCACUUAGACAUAGAAAGCAGCUCGACUGCUUCGGGAUGGCACUCCCCCACCUUUUGGUAGUGCCGUGUAGCUAGCCAACUCGUCGUCGCGAUCCUCGCACGUCGCUUCGGCUCCUCGGGCCAAAACGGACUCUCUAGUAUUUGAUUUGGCGAUAACUCCGCACUCGCUCACAGUUGCAAGUGUUAUUGGUUUUAGCCUGUUUGUAAUCUGAUGAGCCAACGCGGGAUUGUCAUAUUGAAACGUUGCUCAUGAAAAAGAGUAAGUUGGCUUGUUACUCAUUUUCGAUUAAUAUAACAAGAUAAUACGGUGUUCUCACAUUUAAACCUUGCUUAGCUACAGUUGCAAGUGUUCUUGGUUUUAGCCUUGUUGUAAUCUGAUGAGUCAACGCGGGAUUGUCAUAUUCAAAUGUUGCUCAUGAAAAAGAGGAAGUUGGCUUGUUUCUCAUUUUGGAUUAAUAUAACAAGAUAAUACGGUGUUCUCACAUUUAAACGUUACAUAGUUACAGUUGGAAAUGUUCUUGGUUUUGACCUGUUUGUAAUCUGAUGAGUCAACGCGGGUUUGUCUUAUUGAAACGUUGCUCAUGAAAAAGAGUAAGUUGACUUGUUUCUCAUUUUGGGUUAAUAUAACAAGAUAAUACGGGGAACUCACAUUUAAACGUUAAAUAGCUUCAGUUGCGAGUGUUCUUGGUUCUGGCUUUGUUGUAAUCUGACAAGUCAACGUGAGAUUGUCAUGUUGAAACGUUUGUCAUGAAAAAGAGUAAAUUAGCUUAUUUCUCAGUUUGGAUUAAUAUAACAAGAUAAUACGGGGUUCUCAAAUUUAAACGUUGCAUAGCUACAGUUGCAAGUGUUCUUGGUUUUGGCCUUGUUGGAAUCUGAUGAGUCAACGGCGGAUUGUCAUAUUGAAACGUUGCUCGUGAAAUAGAGUAAGUUGGCUUGUUUCUAAUUUUGGAUUAAUAUAACAAGAUAAUUCGGGGCUCUCACAUUUAAACGUUACAUAGUUACAGUUGUAAGUGUUAUUGGUUUUGACCUGUUUGUAAUCUGACGAGUCAACGCGGGAUGGUCAUAUUGAAGCGUUUUUCAAGAAAAAGAGUAAGUUAGCUUGUUUCUCAUUUUAGAUAAAUAUAAUAAGAUAAUACGGGGCUCUCACAUUUAAACGUUGCAUAGCUACAGUUGCAAGUGUUCUUGGUUUUGGCCUUGUUGUAAUCUGAUAAGUCAACGCGGGCUUGCCACAAUGAAACGUUGCUCAUGAAAACGAGUAAGUUGCUUUGUUUCUCAUUUUGGAUUAAUAUAACAAGAUAAUACGGGGCUCUCACAUUUAAACGUUGCAUAGCUACAGUUGCAAGUGUUUUUGGUUUUAGCCUUGUUGUAAUCUGAAGAGCCAACGCGGGAUUGUCAUGUUGAAAAGUUGCUCAUGAAAAAGAGGAAGUUGGCUUGUUUCCCAUUUUGGGUUAAUAUAACCAGAUAAUAACAUUCCUUCACUUAGGAGCUUCAGGCUCCUAACCUGAAGUAAAUCUUAGCUGAUUAACAGCUCAACCACACGAAGCCUUUCAGGCUCUUGUAGUUUUUGUAGUGUUCACGUAAUUCCUGCCUGGGCGCUCUCGAACCUCACUUUAGACGAACUCUUCGUCUAAAGUACGAGAGCCCCUGGCCAGGGAGUCCCACUCCUGGCCAGGGGCAUCGGGUCAAAAGUCUCUUUCGAGAGCCCCUGGCCAUGGAGUCACACCCCUGGCCAAGGGCAUGCGCGUCUAAAACCCGUCGAGAGCCCCUGGCCAGAGAGGGGAGCUCCCCUGGCCAGGGGCAUACGCUUUUCACGGGUCGUUCCCGAAAAAGUCUUUAACCUUUCAACUCCCCCGACUAACGUUUAAUCGGAAAUAUUUCCGAACCCCUGGAGAGAGAGAGAGAAUAAGGGAAUAAAGAGAGGGAGAGGGUGUGAGUAUAACGAGAGAGAGAGAGAUCCUCGUUCUCUUUCUCUUCUUCUUUCUACUCCUCUCCUUCCUCUUCUUCAUCUUCUUCUUCUUCUGUUUCCACCACUAGCAGAAGGAGUAGAAGAAGGAGAACAACCUCACCCGAAAACUUCCACUCGAAGAUUGGGAUAUUACCACUUAGGGCAAAUUAACCCAAAAUCCCAAAUCUUAACCAAGAUUACCUUGGUUCCCCUCGAUUCCUCUACCAAGAUUGAGCUUAAUCUCCGAGCUUGGCGCCUAAAGAGGUGAUAACGUUAGAUCCCGGGGCUAAACCCUAAAAUCGUUUAGAUCCCAAAACUAGAACAAACUACCCAGUGAUUGGAUUAACGAUACAGGGGCUUGCGCAUCCGCUUCUGCCAAGCAGCUAGGCUGNNNNNCCGACUCCGCCGAUCUCCCCACUAGGUCCAAGCGGGCAAAAGUAGAUAAUCGAUAGAUAGAUAGAUAAGGAAAGCGGUAAAUGACAGAAGUAAAGCUACACUACUAUGCCCAAUCAUAAAUAUAUGAAUGCAUGUACAAUGAAAUAGAUAAACAACUAACCCAUUAUCAUGUCCAAAGGUAAAGCUAUUUACUCGUUCAUCGAUCUCAUUUACUUGUUUCUUAAUCUCGUGGCUUCCCUGAAGGAGCCUACUGCUCACUAGCCAUCUCGAAGGUAGGGAGGGUCAACUCGCACUACGAACCGAGACCGUCUGCCGGGACCCAAAAUAGGCGAUCCCUUGGAACCCAAAAUAGGCGAUCCCACGUGACCAACUCCGGAGCGCACUACUUGUGUGGGGCUUCCAUCACAAGAUUUAAAAACAGACCGUGAGCAUGAUCCAAUCCUCGUCUCGAGAAUACCCUAUGCUUUAGGGGUUACAAUCAUCAUAUAGUCCGUAGGUUUCAUAUACUCUACGACUCAUUGUUCUUUUGCUUAUUAUCAACUAAAUGCCACUCGUUCAUGGUUUACUAUCAACUAGAUGCCACUCGUUCUUUGUUUAACAUUAAAUCAACCAUUGAGCCCAUCUUUUUCUCUGCACUAUAGGAUUCACAAGUCUCGACCCAAUCCUUAUCAAUCCACUAUAUCAAGUAUCCCAUACAUGCUACGAUAUCAUCAAGGAAAGCAUAAGGAAAGGCAAUGCACAAUCAUCCUAUAAUGCAAUAACACAAGAUGCAAGAAUCGAAAUGUACUAAGACAUAGAAGGGGGCCCGGUUGCUUCGGGAUGGACACCACCCACCUUUUGAUAACGCCGCAAGGUUAGCAAGCUUGACUUUGCGGUCUUCGCACGUCGCCUCGGCUCCUCGGCCAAAAUUGUAAGGUACCGGACUUCUAAAAUUAUGAAGCUACGGUGUACAUUUGAUUGGAAAGCCAUUUGAAUGGUUCCGGUGAGGUUGCGGUGGAAUGUAACAUACCGGAUAUUAAAUAUAAAAGUGGAAAUAAAUAAAAAUAGUAUGAGAUACUAUUUUUAUUGGAUUUAGAGAAGUGAAAUAUAGGUUGGGAAUGACCUGUGCUGAAAUCGGAGCGAAAACAGAAGAUUUAGAAUUUUCUGUGAGAAACGGGGCAGAUAAAUUAGCAGAAAAUGCACAGUGUCAGAAAAUUAUGAAAACUGGAG